GACAGAGGGUGCAAACGUUUGUUCGGAAUUACUGGGCGUAAAGCGCGUGUAGGCGGCUAAGUAAGUCGGGCGUGAAAUCCCACGGCUCAACCGUGGAAGUGCACUCGAAACUGCAUAGCUAGAGUCCUGGAGGGGAAGGUGGAAUGCUUGGUGUAGAGGUGAAAUUCGUAGAUAUCAAGCGGAACACCGGUGGCGAAGGCGGCCUUCUGGACAGUGACUGACGCUGAGACGCGAAAGCGUGGGGAGCGAACAGG
rnacentral:rRNA from 1 species